AACUUCGGAGGCGAGCGUUAUCCGGAUUUACUGGGUGUAAAGCGCGUGCAGGCGGUCGUGUAAGUGGUGCGUGAAAGCUCCCGGCUCAACCGGGAGAGGACGUGCCAAACUGCAGGGCUAGAGGCAGGUAGAGGCGUGUGGAAUUCCGGGUGUAGUGGUGAAAUGCGUAGAGAUCCGGAGGAAAACCAGUGGCGAAGGCGACACGAUGGGCCUGGCAUGAAGCUCAGACGAGCCCGCAUGGGGCGCGCACGGGAUUAGAUACCACUGUAGUCC
rnacentral:rRNA from 1 species